rnacentral:tRNA from 1 species
GCAGGCGUACCCAAGGGGCUUAAGGGGUGUGAUUGCAAAUCACAUAUUCGCAGGUUCGAAUCCUGCCGCCUGCUC